GCCACUUACCUUCCUGUGGGGAAGGGGAAGGGGAAGGGAAGGGAGGAAGGAAGGAAGGAAGGAAGGAAGGAAGGAAGGAAGGAAGGAAGAUGCUCCUUGCUAGAUUCCCACAAAGAAACUCAAUGGGGAAGCCAGCAGGAAAUUAGAAGUCAUUCCUCUCCCACAGCUUUUUUCCACCUUUGGUCAUUCUGUUUUUCUGUUUAGAGUUGGAUGCUGGUGUUCAAGGAUAUGUGUUUCAACCUAUUUUGUACAACCUGAUCUUCAUUACAAGCAGUUUUAAAGUAACAACAUGGCUUAAUACAAUAAAGAGUCAAAUUGCA